AUACAUGUGAGUCGAGGGGCAGCGGAUCCCUCCGGGGAUGCCGGCGACCGGCGAACGGGUGAGUAACACGUAUGGAACCUACCCUUAACUGGGGAAUAGCCUUGAGAAAUCGAGGGUAAUACCCCAUAUCAUCUGAAAGAGGCAUCUCUUUCAGAUGAAAGCUCCGGCGGUUAAGGAUGGCCAUGCGGUCCGUUAGCUUGUUGGUGAGAUAACCGCUCACCAAGGCUACGAUGGAUAGCUGAUCUGAGAGGAUGAUCAGCCACAUUGGCACUGAGACACGGGCCAAACUCCUACGGGAGGCAGCAGUAGGGAAUCUUGGUCAAUUGGCGAAAGCCAGAACCAGUCAUGCCGCGUGCAGGAUGAAGGCCCUACGGGUCGUAAACUGCUUUUAUUCGGGAAGAAAAAGUCUGUUUCCACAGAUCUUGACGGUACCGAUUGAAUAAGGACCGGCCAACUCCGUGCCAGCAGCCGCGGUAAUACGGAGGGUCCAAGCGUUAUCCGGAUUCACUGGGUUUAAAGGGUGCGCAGGCGGCCAAGUAAGUCAGUGGUGAAAGCCUUCGGCUCAACCGGAGAAUUGCCAUUGAAACUACUUGGCUUGAGUGCAGCAGAGGUAGGCGGAAUGUAGCAUGUAGCGGUGAAAUGCAUAGAUAUGCUACAGAACACCGAUAGCGAAAGCAGCUUACCACACUGUAACUGACGCUGAGGCACGAAAGCAUGGGUAGCAAACAGGAUUAGAUACCCUGGUAGUCCAUGCCGUAAACUUUGAACACUCGGAGUUUGCCACCUAGUGGUAAGCCCCCUAGCGAAAGCGUUAAGUGUUCCACCUGGGGAGUAUGGUCGCAAGGC
rnacentral:rRNA from 1 species